ensembl:lncRNA
AGUAGCUCUCCUCCUCUGCUGCACUUACAGUAAUCCCUGGAAGCUUUCCUUACGGGAUGAUCAUGUGUGAGAGUCCGCUGGGAUUUCAGCUUUGUGAAUGGUUAAGUAAAUCUCUAUAUGUGUGUGUUACUGUUGCUCCUGAUACUCCUGUGUGUGUGUGUGUGUGUGUGUUACAGGAAAACAGUGACUAAUGUCUGCCCUCCUUCCUUCCGUAAGAUGAUCCGUCCCAGAAGGCGAAGGAGAGGGCACCGCUCCGUGGCCGGAGACACUUAGGAAACACUGCUGGAGCUCUUUGUCCACUCGCCUCAGCACUUCUGAGUUCGACGGCGCCCGCGAUCGGCCGUCUCCAGGCACCACCAGGAGGCCCUUUUCUUGAGGACGAUCCCACCGGCGCUGCUGAGAGCAGCCAUAUUCUUUGUGGCCGUGGCCGCGGGGUCGCUGAAGGUGGCACUCAAUUUACUGCCGUCACAAUGGACGUGGCGUCUGCCGCAUACAUAAUUCAGCAAUCACUGUAUUCCACAUUGAUAACAGCACGACGCCGGCACUCACCUUGCCUUUGAUUCCAUUCAAAGAUGGGGAGUGAUUGCACACUCACACAGCAAAGAGGAAAAGAAAGAUGGAGCAACGUGCAUCACAAUGGGAAGCCCUGAAUACGAGUUAAACUGGUUAGCACAAGUGUGACGGCUAGCUACAUUCACCUUUGUUGCAUUCAAGGACCCACAGAUUAUAUAAAAAACAAGUGAAACAGAAAAUGUCAAACAAGGCUUAAUAAAACUCACAGCCGUGUUCUGUAGCAACAAGCAUUCAUCUUUAGUGAGGGGAGGGAAAAAGCAGACAUGCAGGAGACACGGGCGAGUUAUGUUGCAGUACACCAGCAGAACUAAACUCUACACACUCUAUUUUUAACCCUGAAUUUUAAUGAAACACCCCCCUUGUGCCCAUGAGCUCCCUUUUCCUCUUCCCCCUUCACUGAAUCCAUUGGGUUGAAACAGAUUUAGCUGGUGGAAUGACAAAUGAUGCAUAUAAAUGACUAAUAUUGCAGGCCUGAUCUAUUACAGAACUCUCUCCGGCUCACACGGAAGUGAUUAAAAUCACUGCAGAAGCGGGCAAAUGCUGCGGUUUGAUGGGUUAAAACCUCACACAGGUCCACUUUAUCUAACUUUAGAUGGACGUAACUUAAUAAUCCACAGCAAUAGUCUGGUUUAUGUUGGCUGACUUCAGUCCAAAAAUACGCGUAGAGUAUAAACAAAUGCACAAAAGGCGCAACUAAGGCAGCAGAAUCUCAGCACAAAGGUGCGUUUUAUACCUUUUGUAAUGUGUGCUUACUCCACUGAAUGGCUCCACUGUCCAGUGAACUCUGGGCCAAUGCGGGACAAUAGUUUUGUUUUGUUUUUUUGCAAAAGGCUGCAGGUCGUGAAGGUGAUGUGGGUGUUAAACAUGCGCUCAGCGCGCAUUGCGCACGCAUAGUAAACAAAUAUUUGACAGCGGCAGCAGCAUUGGGCUGCCUCUGUGGUGCGUUCGCAGUGUUGCAGGAGUUUUGUCAGCUCUUAAGUGUCCGCUUUGACGGCCUCUCUGCGUCCGCGGAGAGAAGGAGCCGCUGUAAUUAGUUUCUCAAUGAAGGAUCAUCAGCAGCUCCCCGGAGGCUCGGAGGACUGAAGCGUGGCGCUGCUUCAUCAGGCGUUCAGCUGGCUCACUCCAGAGCUCCGCUGGUUUCUCCCGAACCAAACAAGUGGGCAGCAACGGAGCAUCAUCGUUCCAAGCGUCUAGAGAUUUGUUUCACGACCCCCGCGAGUGCCGGGAGUUGACCGGGGUUGGGUUGGGGUUUUUUUUUCCGGCGCACGACGCGGAAUAAUCGGGAAA